rnacentral:rRNA from 1 species
UCAUCGUAGGGUUAGUCGGGACCUAAGUCGAGUCCGAAAGGGGUAGACGAUGGAAAAUAGGUUAAUAUUCCUAUACCGACGGUUGUUUGUUUGAAUGAUGGGGGGACGCAUAGAGUUAAAGGAGCUCACUGAUGGAAUAGUGGGUCGAAGGAAGUAGGUCGUAAGGUAGGCAAAUCCGCCUUACACGAGACCGAGAUCUUACAGGCAGUUCAAUCUCUUCGGAGAGCGGACUGAAUCCUUGAUACUGUCGUGCCGAGAAAAGCCUCUAAAUGAGAACAACCGUUGCCCGUACCGUAAACCGACACAGGUGGGUGAGAUGAGUAUUCUAAGGCGCGUGGAUGAACCCUGGUUAAGGAACUCUGCAAACUAGCACCGUAUCUUCGGUAUAAGGUGUACCUUAUUUGUUAGUGGAUUUACUCCGCGAAGCAAUUAAAGGUCGCAGCAAAGAGUCCCUCCCGA